rnacentral:rRNA from 1 species
CCCUUAGAUGUUCUGGGCUGCACGCGCGCUACACUGAAGCGUUCAACGAGUAUUCACCUUGCCCGGGAGGGUUGGGUAAUCUUUUGAAAACGCUUCGUGAUGGGGAUAGAUUAUUGCAAUUAUUAAUCUUCAACGAGGAAUUCCUAGUAAGCGCGAGUCAUCAGCUCGUGCUGAUUACGUCCCUGCCCUUUGUACACACCGCCCGCCGCUCCUACCGAUUGAGUGAUCCGGUGAAUAAUUCGGACUGCAGCACUGCUUGGUCUCCAGGCUUUGCAGCGGAAAGUUUAGUGAACCUUAUCACUUAGAGGAAGGAGAANUCGUAACA